AUUAUACUUUCUCCGUCCGAAAAUACUUGUCAUCGAAAUGAUGUAUCUUAAACUAAAAUACGUCUAGAUACAUUCCUUUUUAUUCAUUUUGGUGACAAGUAUUUUUGGACGGAGGGAGUAGCCA
rfam:Triticum aestivum genome assembly, contig: Triticum_aestivum_CS42_TGACv1_scaffold_050370_1BS